GGAAGUUGACGGGGCCCGCACAAGCGGUGGAGUAUGUGGUUUAAUUCGAUGCAACGCGAAGAACCUUACCUGGUCUUGACAUCCCGGAGACCCUUAGGAAACUAGGGGUGCUUCCAUCUGGAAGAAUCUGGAGACAGGUGCUGCAUGGCUGUCGUCAGCUCGUGUCGUGAGAUGUUGGGUUAAGUCCCGCAACGAGCGCAACCCUUGCCUUUAGUUGCCAGCAGUUCGGCUGGGCACUCUAAAGGGACUGCCGGUGUUAAACCGGAGGAAGGUGGGGAUGACGUCAAGUCCUCAUGGCCUUUAUGACCAGGGCUACACACGUACUACAAUGGCCGAUACAAAGGGCAGCGACACUGCGAGGUGAAGCCAAUCCCGUAAAAUCGGUCUCAGUCCGGAUUGGAGUCUGCAACUCGACUCCAUGAAGUUGGAAUCGCUAGUAAUCGUGGAUCAGCAUGCCACGGUGAAUACGUUCCCGGGCCUU
rnacentral:rRNA from 1 species